GACGAACGCUGGCGGCGUGCUUAACACAUGCAAGUCGAACGGAAAGGCCCUGCUUUUGUGGGGUGCUCGAGUGGCGAACGGGUGAGUAACACGUGAGUAACCUGCCCUUGACUUUGGGAUAACUUCAGGAAACUGGGGCUAAUACCGGAUAGGGGCUCCUGCUGCAUGGUGGGGGUUGGAAAGUUUCGGCGGUUGGGGAUGGACUCGCGGCUUAUCAGCUUGUUGGUGGGGUAGCGGCUUACCAAGGCUUUGACGGGUAGCCGGCCUGAGAGGGUGACCGGCCACAUUGGGACUGAGAUACGGCCCAGACUCCUACGGGAGGCAGCAGUGGGGAAUAUUGCACAAUGGGCGGAAGCCUGAUGCAGCAACGCCGCGUGCGGGAUGACGGCCUUCGGGUUGUAAACCGCUUUCGCCUGUGACGAAGCGUGAGUGACGGUAAUGGGUAAAGAAGCACCGGCUAACUACGUG
rnacentral:rRNA from 1 species